rnacentral:rRNA from 1 species
UUACUUUGCAGAGCUCAUGCUGAUGAGAUCACGAAUGGACGCAAUUUAAACCCUGAUGUUGUCGAGAGGAUUCAAAACGAUAAGUUCCACGAAUGGUUCCAAGCUCAUAUAAAGAAAUUGGAGAAGGAAAUUGGCAUCCACAACAUUGAAAAGGAUAUUAGAUUGCUCGCCCGGGGCCCAGUUAAUGCAGCCAAAAGAUAUUGUGCUUUCAACUCCCGAGGCUACCAUUUUAGGCCUAAACGCUUGGAUAAAGAGACACAAAAUAGUGGAGUCAUGGUAACUGCAAAAACAUCUAGUUAUGAUUCAGCACGUGAUGCCAAUCCUGUUUUACGUGAUGUGACGUACUACGGGAGGGUAAUUGAUAUUGUCGAGCUAAACUACUCUGGACAGUUUUCAGUGGUGUUGUUUAAAUGUGAAUGGGUUAAUGUGUUCUCAGAAACAGGAAUGAAAAAAGACAAGUACGGUUACACACUUGUCAACUUCUCACAUCUA